rnacentral:rRNA from 1 species
AACGAACGCUGGCGGCAUGCCUAACACAUGCAAGUCGAACGAAGCCUUCGGGCUUAGUGGCGCACGGGUGCGUAACGCGUGGGAAUCUGCCCCUUGCUUCGGAAUAACAGUUAGAAAUGACUGCUAAUACCGGAUGAAGUCUUCGGACCAAAGAUUUAUCGGCAAGGGAUGAGCCCGCGUAGGAUUAGGUAGUUGGUGGGGUAAAGGCCUACCAAGCCGACGAUCCUUAGCUGGUCUGAGAGGAUGAUCAGCCACACUGGGACUGAGACACGGCCCAGACUCCUACGGGAGGCAGCAGUGGGGAAUAUUGGACAAUGGACGCAAGUCUGAUCCAGCAAUGCCGCGUGAGUGAUGAAGGCCUUAGGGUUGUAAAGCUCUUUUACCAGGGAUGAUAAUGACAGUACCUUGAGAAUAAGCUCCGGCUAACUCCGUG